UGGGGAAUAUUGCACAAUGGGCGCAAGCCUGAUGCAGCAAUGCCGCGUGAGUGAAGACGGCCUUAGGGUUGUAAAACUCUUUCGCUAGGGAAGAUAAUGACGGUACCUAGUAAAGAAGCCCCGGCUAACUCCGUGCCAGCAGCCGCGGUAAUACGGAGGGGGCUAGCGUUGUUCGGAAUUACUGGGCGUAAAGCGCGCGUAGGCGGACUGAUCAGUCAGGGGGUGAAAUCCCCGGGGCUCAACCCCGGAACUGCCUUUGAUACUGUCAGUCUUGAGUCCGGAAGAGGCGAGUGGAAUACCGAGUGUAGAGGUGAAAUUCGUAGAUAUCAGGAGGAACACCGGUGGCGAAGGCGGCUACCCUGGACCGGUUCUGACGCUGAGGCGCGAAAGCGUGGGGAGCAAAACAGGAUUAGAUACCCCUGGUAGUCCACGCUGUAAAACGAUGGGUGCUAGAUGUUGGGAUUUUCGGAUUUCAGUGUCGCAGCUAACGCAUUAAGCACUCCGCCUGGGAGUACGGCCGCAAGGUUAAAACUCAAAGGAAUUGA
rnacentral:rRNA from 1 species